rnacentral:rRNA from 1 species
UGGCGGCAUGCCUAAUACAUGCAAGUCGAACGAGAUCUUCGGAUCUAGUGGCGCACGGGUGCGUAACGCGUGGGAAUCUGCCCUUGGGUUCGGAAUAACGUCGGGAAACUGACGCUAAUACCGGAUGAUGACGAAAGUCCAAAGAUUUAUCGCCCAGGGAUGAGCCCGCGUAGGAUUAGCUAGUUGGUGGGGUAAAGGCUCACCAAGGCUACGAUCCUUAGCUGGUCUGAGAGGAUGAUCAGCCACACUGGGACUGAGACACGGCCCAGACUCCUACGGGAGGCAGCAGUAGGGAAUAUUGGACAAUGGGGGCAACCCUGAUCCAGCAAUGCCGCGUGAGUGAUGAAGGCCUUAGGGUUGUAAAGCUCUUUUACCCGAGAUGAUAAUGACAGUAUCGGGAGAAUAAGCUCCGGCUAACUCCGUGCCAGCAGCCGCGGUAAUACGGAGGGAGCUAGCGUUGUUCGGAAUUACUGGGCGUAAAGCGCACGUAGGCGGCGAUUUAAGUCAGAGGUGAAAGCCCGGGGCUCAACCCCGGAACUGCCUUUGAGACUGGAUUGCUAGAAUCUUGGAGAGGCGGGUGGAAUU